rnacentral:rRNA from 1 species
GAUGAACGCUGGCGGCGUGCCUAAUACAUGCAAGUCGAGCGAACGGACGAGAAGCUUGCUUCUCUGAUGUUAGCGGCGGACGGGUGAGUAACACGUGGAUAACCUACCUAUAAGACUGGGAUAACUUCGGGAAACCGUAGCUAAUACCGGAUAAUAUUUUGAACCGCAUGGUUCAAAAGUGAAAGACGGUCUUGCUGUCACUUAUAGAUGGGUCCGCGCUGCAUUAGCUAGUUGGUAAGGUAACGGCUUACCAAGGCAACGAUGCAUAGCCAACCUGAGAGGGUGAUCGGCCACACUGGAACUGAGACACGGUCCAGACUCCUACGGGAGGCAGCAGUAGGGAAUCUUCCGCAAUGGGCGAAAGCCUGACGGAGCAACGCCGCGUGAGUGAUGAAGGUCUUCGGAUCGUAAAACUCUGUUAUUAGGGAAGAACAUAUGUGUAAGUAACUGUGCACAUCUUGACGGUACCUAAUCAGAAAGCCACGGCUAACUACGUG